CAACACUCAUUGUAAACACGCCUCACCAAGACUAAACAGCGUGUCUAAACAACAGUCUUUCAUACCUUGCCUUAGGGUGGCAAGGAAUAGUAACUCCA
rnacentral:ncRNA from 1 species